AUUGAACGCUGGCGGCAUGCUUUACACAUGCAAGUCGAACGGUAACAGGCCGCAAGGUGCUGACGAGUGGCGAACGGGUGAGUAAUGCAUCGGAACGUGCCCAGUCGUGGGGGAUAACGCAGCGAAAGCUGUGCUAAUACCGCAUACGAUCUGUGGAUGAAAGCGGGGGACCGUAAGGCCUCGCGCGAUUGGAGCAGCCGAUGGCUGAUUAGCUAGUUGGUGAGGUAAAGGCUCACCAAGGCGACGAUCAGUAGCGGGUCUUAGAGGACGAUCCGCCACACUGGAACUGAGACACGGUCCAGACUCCUACGGGAGGCAGAAGUGGGGAAUCUUGGACAAUGGGCGAAAGCCUGAUCCAGCAAUGCCGCGUGCGUGAAGAAGGCCUUCGGGUUGUAAAGCUCUUUCGGCCGGGAAGAAAUCGCACGGGCUAAUACCCUGUGUGGAUGACGGUACCGGAAUAAGAAGCACCGGCUAACUACGUGCCAGCCGCCGCGGUAAGAC
rnacentral:rRNA from 1 species